rnacentral:tRNA from 1 species
UCAACUCUAGCUCAGUGGUAGAGCAUCUGCUUUGCAUGCAGACAGUCCCAGGUUCAAUCCCCAGUGUCUCUAGCUAAA